GGGAUUCCCCUAGUAACGGCGAGUGAAGCGGGAACAGCUCAAAUUUGAAAUCUGGCCCUCGGGUCCGAAUUGUAAUUUGCAGAGGAUGCUUUUGGUUAGGUACUUUCCGAGUUCCCUGGAACGGGACGCCUUAGAGGGUGAGAGCCCCGUACGGUUGGAUACCGAGCCUUUGUAAAGCUCCUUCGACGAGUCGAGUAGUUUGGGAAUGCUGCUCUAAAUGGGAGGUAAACUUCUUCUAAAGCUAAAUACCGGCCAGAGACCGAUAGCGCACAAGUAGAGUGAUCGAAAGAUGAAAAGCACUUUGAAAAGAGGGUUAAAUAGCACGUGAAAUUGUUGAAAGGGAAGCGUUUAUGACCAGACUUUUUCCAGGCGGAUCAUCCGGUGUUCUCACCGGUGCACUUCGUCUGGUUGAGGCCACCAUCCGUUUUCGGAGAGGGAUAAAAGCUCGAGAAACGUGCGUACUGCGCUAACGCCAUCUCCGAUUGCACCGUUCCCGUUAAGCUC
rnacentral:rRNA from 1 species